GGCAACUAUUUCGGACUUUGUAAGUCACGGGUCUCUGCCUCAAACAUUCAGUGUUUGCUGCUGUUCUGCAAAAGCAGCCACAGCAGAUAGAUCAAGGAACCGGGGUGGCUGGACCCACCCCCAAAGGUCACCUGUAAACGCAGAGGAGGGCUGGAACCGGCCAGUGGGAUGGGUUUGCCAGCUCCUGAGCUCAGGCCUUAGCGGGCUGGCAGAGCGUGGGGACGGGAACAUAAUAACGCAUCCGGAGGAAGGGCUGACCCGACAGGAGUCAGAGGAGAGUUGGGAGGCGCGUAACGAUUUGAAGCAGAUGACCCCAUCAGAGGCAACUGGGAAGGCUGAUUGUCGCUGCUCUGCGGGAAACGUGUGGUCAGGGACGAGCGUGGUCACGGCUGGUGUCCAGGGAAGCGGAGCUGAUCAUUGACCAGGAGGGAGGUCACAACAGGGGCGGACGAGCGAUCAGAAACGGAUUUCAGGUGCUCGACGCGCUAAGUCCGUCAGUCGUGUCUGACUCUUCACAACCCCGUGGACUGCAGCCCGCCAGGCUCCUCCAUCCAUGGGAUUCUCCAGGCAAGAAUACUGGAGCGGGUUGCCAUUUCCUUCUCCAGGGGAUCUUCCCAACCCAAGAAUUGCACCUGAGUCCCCUGCACUGCGGGCAGAUUCUUUACCGACUGAGCUAUGAGGGAAGCCCUAAAAGUCCCUGGAUGUAUGAAAUGACUCCACCCUUGAAAGACUGCGGAAGUCCUGGAUGCUUACAUGUGUAUGCUGUGCUGGACAGUGCCAAGUGUUUAAUAACAAACAGGCGCCAGAAGUAACUCAACUCAAGUUCUGAAUGUUGGGUUAGAAAGAGAGCUUGUGACUUUGGAAGCAUUUGACUGUAUUUAGAGACGAACUACAGGCUAGACAUGGCGGUGUUC
rnacentral:lncRNA from 1 species